rnacentral:rRNA from 1 species
CCUACGGGCGGCAGCAGUGGGGAAUAUUGCACAAUGGGGGAAACCCUGAUGCAGCGACGCCGCGUGAGUGAGGAAGUCUUUCGGUAUGUAAAGCUCUAUCAGCAGGGAAGAAAAUGACGGUACCUGACUAAGACGCCCCGGCUAACUACGUGCCAGCCGCCGCGGUACUACGUAGGGGGCAAGCGUUAUCCGGAUUUACUGGGUGUAACGGGAGCGUAGACGGCUAGUCAAGCCAGAAGUGAAAGCCCAGGGCUCAACCUUGGGACUGCUUUUGAAACUGAGUAGCUAGAGUGCAGGUGAGGUAAGCGGAAUUCGUGGUGUAGCGGUGAAAUGCGUAGAUAUUAGGAGGAACACCAGUGGCGAAGGCGGCUUACGGGACUGUAACUGACGUUGAGGCUCGAAAGCGUGGGGAGCAAACAGGAUUAGAUACCCGGGUAGUC